rnacentral:misc_RNA from 1 species
CAACAAAAAAAGAAUUAUCAAAAUCGGUACAUCCAGUAGAAAGUUGUGUGGUAUAAUACAACGUAGGUCGACGAAAAAAGCGUCAAGUAAAAACGCAUUAUUAUAUAUAACUCGAAAAGUAGUUGUUAGAUCUCAAAUAAAUUUAAAUGGGACCAAUUGGCACACACCACCUUUCGAUUAAAACAAAAUUUGUCGAAAUCGGUCUACCCGGUCAAAAGUUCUGAGGUAACAUACAUAAAAAAAAAAAAAAAAAAAAAUACAGUCGAAUUGAGAACCUCCUCCUUUUUUGGAAGUCGGUU